CGAUAGGGUUGACAGCGCCACGUUUGGAUGCCACAGGUUAGUGUCCCACUUUCUUAGUGGGGCUUUGAGGCUGCGUCCCCCUACAGCCAUGAGGGCUCCAGCAUGGGACCUGCCGCUGGUGCUGGAAGCCUUGUCAUCACCUCCCUUCGAGCCUUUGGGUCAAGGGGGUUGAAGUGGCUGUCCUUUUACUCGCCAUAACCUCUGCAAAGCGUGUCGGGGAGUUACAUGCCCUAUCGGUGAGUGAUACAUGCUUGAGGUGGAACUCUGAUGGCUCGGGUGUCACUCUAUGGCCAAAUGUUGCGUUCCUGCCAAAGGUGCUUCCACGCAAUCACCUUAACCAGCCCAUCCAGUUAGCAUGCUUUGACCCCCCCAUCUGAGGAGGGUGGGUCUGAGCUGCUGUGCCCAGUACGGGCCCUUAUAUUUCGGGCUUAUAUUUCUGCUACCGCCAGUAUUCGCCAGUCUGAGCAGCUUUUUGUUUGCCAUGGUGGCCCUAACAGGGACAAAACAAAGCAGAGGCUGUCCCACUGGAUUGUGGAGACCAUAACGCAUACCUACGGGACCAGUGGUCGCCCCCCCGCCAUCCAGGGUGAGGUGACACUCAACCAGGAGCGUCUCAACAUCAUGGGCUGCCCUGAGAGGGGUGCCCUUGGGGACCAUCUGUGCCGUGGCGUCCUGGACGUCGCCUAGCACAUUCUCCAGGUUCUACCGUGUCAACGUUGCCACUCCCCAUCUAAUGGGCGUGGUCCUGAUGCCAAGCUCUGCUGUCUCCAGGCAGUCGGACCAGGCCCCAGGGUGGAGGAGGUGAUGGAGCCGUGCUGGGGACCAGCUGGUGAAGGAAGUCCCUCGUGGGGUUAUUACGUCUCUAAAGGGACUAUCACCCUCACCUCAAUUUAAUAGGCUGCUGUUGCUGCAUCAUCUACUUGGAUUUAAAAGCCAGCACAGGUUCAAACAGGGCGUCUAAAGAAUAACCUCCCCAGGGUUCAACUUCCCGGCUGUGUUACCAGACCAGGGUCCUGGGCUGAGGAGAGCUGAUGGAGGAGCCUGGAAUCUGCCUGCCAACAAGUAGUACUGGGCGUGGCAGAGGGAGGUGAUGGAGGACCUGCCUGGUGAAGGAUGUCCUGCUGGACGAGAGACACCGACUCUAAAGGGACGACCACUGAGGAGAGAGAGCUAGAGCCGUGCAUCUGGAAGGUGAAUCUGGUGCCGACGGCCCUCUACAGGCCAGGAUAAGUCUGGGGCCGACGCACCUGAGCGGCACCCCACCUGCUCCUCUGCACAGCUGGACUCCUUCAGAGGGACAAACAAACGGCAUCACAGCCGAGCUCAUCGCUGGACUGGAUUCAUCUCCUACACUCAGACCUUCACCUCAUGCUGCUCACUGGGACCCUCCUCAGGGCUCUCAUUGGGACUCCCCUCAGGGCGUCCAUCAGGGCUCCUCCCCUCAGUGGGGGGGCUCCUGCUCCCCGCAGUCGGGUGUUCCUCAGGGUACAGUGUUAGGGAGAGAUCGUCGAGGUAUCGGCUGGUUUCACGAUGAACCGCUCCGAUGGUUUCCACAUGGGAUGGAUAUCGGACACAAUGCUUCCCCAAAAUGUUUAAAUGUGCAAAUGCUUUUUGAAAUGUGUUCUUAUUGUGUUUGUUGAUAUAAAAA
ensembl:lncRNA